rnacentral:rRNA from 1 species
CUUCGGGCCCAGUGAAAGUGCUGCAUGGCCGUCUAAAGCUCGUGUCGUGAGAUGUUUGGUUUAAUCCAUCAACGAGCGCAACCCCCGUAGUUAGUUGAAUUUUUCUAGCUAGACUGCCUCGGUAACGGGGAGGAAGGAGGGGAAGACGUCAGGUCAGUAUUGCCCUUACACCUGGGGCUACAAACACACUACAAUGGCCGGUACAAAGGGCUGCCAACCCGCGAGGGGGAGCAAAUCCCAUCAAAGCCGGUCUCAGUUCGGAUUGUAGGCUGAAACUCGCCUGCAUGAAGCUGGAAUCGCUAGUAACGGUAGGUCAGCAUACUACCGUGAAUACGUUCCCGGGUCUGUAACACACCG